AGUAACACGUGAACAACCUGCCCCGAAGUCCGGGAUAACCCGGGGAAACCCGAGCUAAUACCGGAUACCCCCUACUGAUCGCAUGGUCGGUAGAGGAAAGAUUUAUCGCUUCGGGAGGGGUUCGCGGCCUAUCAGCUAGUUGGUGAGGUAACGGCUCACCAAGGCAUCGACGGGUAGCUGGUCUGAGAGGACGAUCAGCCACACUGGGACUGAGACACGGCCCAGACUCC
rnacentral:rRNA from 1 species